UUAAGAAAAAGACUAUUAGAAAUUUGCAUGUAUACACUAUGCUUUUCUACUUGUACUUUCCUAUCCCGUUCACAGUAAUAUCUCCAGUAUCUAGAAUAGGUGAGGGGCUGGCCUUCGACACUCCAGUAAUAUUCGUGGAGUCGAUGGUAGGUAAGUGGGUGGCUGGGUGGCUGGCUGGAAGCCGUGGAACUGAAGGCUGAUUUAAACAGCGAGGAUAAGAAAGACGGGCUGCAUUUCCCUUCCCAUCCCUUCUUACAUUAGCUAGAAUAAGUAUAAUCUGUGAAAAACUCAAGCAACAGUAGUUCAGAAGUAGAAAUAAGUUUAUUUUAUUAAUUUUGAUACAAUGCUAGAGACAGUACAUUUCAUAGGCUGCUUUGUUGCAAAAAUUAAUCAGCACCAGCUCCUGGUUUGAAUUAUACAAACCAUAGUGUUAAUGAAAAUUAUGUGCAUGUUCUUUUUGGCUGUAGUAAAAAUGAACAAAAACAGAAAUGUAAAAAAAUGUUACCUGGGGGCGCCUGGGUGGCUCAGUGUGUUAAAGCCUCUGCCUUCGGCUCAGGUCAUGAUCCUAGGGUCCUGGGAUCGAGCACCGCAUCAGGCUCUCUGCUCAGCAGAAAGCCUGCCUCUCUUCCUCUCUCUCUCUUUUUUAGAUAACAAUCAUUUGCUUUUUUUAUUUUCCCCUGAGUCAAAGCUCAAUCAUGGGGAAGAAAUAAAGGUCAUGAUAAAUAUUGCCCAACAUCCCAACUUGCCAGAAUUUUUGUUUGUAUCCUCAUUCAAUUACUUGCGUUUUAUAAAUGGAUCAAUGUUUUCAUGAUCAGGAACAUUCAAAAAUAUUAUCCUAGUAUUCCUAGUUGCUACAAAAAUCAUAAAACAUUCUCUCUUUAUACUAGCAUUUGCAAUUACACUUAAACAUCAUUGUCAUUGCAGAUAAGUAUAAUAAAAUCUACCAUGCUGAUCAGUUUCUCCAUAACAGCCCUGGUUCUGGAUUCCCAGUUUUAAAUAGUUACUAUAGCUCUGUUGUUCUAGAAGGGAGUGGCCUCUGAACUCUUUAUUUCUUGAGCUUUUACUUUCCCUCUUAGGAUAUCAUUCUUCAGGUAAACAACCCUUUGCUACAUAAUCUGGCAUCUCGCCUUUCCAAAUGGCAGAGGCCAGAGGGUCAGAGAGGACUGGAGUUGGUAUGGAGGGUGGGUUUUGCAUCUUUUGGUUAAAUACCAGAGAGUGUCGGUGUUGCUUAAGAGACCUGUAUGUUGUCAUCAGUUCCGAGCCUAGGUGGGAUCCCUGAAGCGAGGAGCCUCACGAGGCCACCAUGCUUUUAAAUUUAAGUGAGAGGUAGAAAAUGCCAAAACGUGAUCCCCAUUUCUCUUUGCAAAUAUUUCUAAUACCAAAAAUCUUGAUAAAUGUGCAGAAAUAAAACAAGCUUGUCAUGUUUUAUAUCCAGAAACUGGACUGAAUUUCUUCCGUUUAUUUUAGUUUUACCAAAUGUGUUAGUCUAAUAAAACAUGCUCCAAAGCUUUAGUCUACUUGGUAACCCCAUCUUGACUGAAAUUACUCUGAACUACUCAUAGAGCAAGUUAGCUACAUUUGGUACAACCACAUUUUUUGGUGAUUAAGAGAAGAGGAAAAUUUUGAACACAUGCUUCAGAAAUAAAUUUCUGAUUUCCUGUAAUUACAACUUGAUUUCAGAAGGGAGUUCCUGUAAGACUGCAACACACUUCACUGGUACGAAAAGGUUUCAUUCAGCUGAUAUUAUAAAUUCAUAAGGGACUUUAUGUUACCAGAUGGGGUUAGCAUGCCAUUUCUAGAAAUAGUAGAGAUGUAAGGGCUCAAAGUUAUAUCAAAAUCCAUUCUGAGAAUAUGGGUUUUCAAGGGCUCUGUUUUCAGUACUAUCUUUCUUUGUUCAUCAGCACUUUUCACUGGGACACUUCCGAGGAAGCAGUGUUUUUCUUCAAUGUGUUAAACAUCACUCGCAUAAACUCUAUUCCAAAUGUCCUUGAGAAAUGUUAGUCCUUACCGUAUACCCAAAUGAAAAGAGAAGUUCACAUUACUUCAAAUUUCUCCUGAAUCUGUGAGGCCAGGGGAAACCAUCAUGAUGAGCUCUGGGAAGGUACAAGGCCAACAUUUUUAAUGGAAAAAGAACUCUGUCUCAUGAGUAGGGAUGGGUAGACCCUGACGUGAAUGUAGUCUCUGAAUUCUUACCUGAACUAGAGCUUUGCAAAUGAGCUUCCAUCUGCAAGAGUCUCCCAUCUAAAGCCUUCCUUUUCCACCACAGAGAAUUCUCUCUCUCUCUCAUUUUUUUUUUUNNNNNNNNNNNNNNNNNNNNNNNNNNNNNNNNNNNNNNNNNNNNNNNNNNNNNNNNNNN
rnacentral:lncRNA from 1 species